UUAACAAAAAAGGACAAACAAAACCAAAUGUUGACAGGAUGGAGAGCACUGGAAAUUCUUAUUCAUUUCUGGAAAGGGUAUAAAAAAGUUCAACAGGUUGGAAAAAAAUUUGGCAGCAUCAACUGAGGGUCAUACAUACACAGUUAUAUGCUGUGGCCCAGAAAUCGUACUUUUAGCUGUGCUACACCUUUGACCUGUGCUCUCCAAUAUGAUAGGGACAAGCCACAUGUAGCUACUGAACACUUGAAAGUUGC